CUUAGUCGUGGUGUACCAAUCCACACUUAUGGUGCCCCGCGGCAAUAAUAAGGAGGAUUUUUAUCCGGGAGGCUCCCGGUGCGGCAUUGUGGAGACAUGCCGCAAUGCGUCCGCCAAGCCCGGCGGUCGUGAGAAUGCGGUGCGGAGGCAGCGCAGUCAGAGUCCAAACAGUAUGGCA
rnacentral:ncRNA from 1 species